AAUGGGCGCAAGCCUGAUCCAGCCAUGCCGCGUGUGUGAAGAAGGCCUUCGGGUUGUAAAGCACUUUUUAGUUGGGAGGAAGGGGUUNAGGUUAAUACCNUGNNNUAUUGACGUUACCNACAGAAUAAGCACCGGCUAACUNCGUGCCAGCAGCCGCGGUAAUACGGAGGGUGCAAGCGUUAAUCGGAAUUACUGGGCGUAAAGCGCGCGCAGGCGGUUUGUUAAGUCGGAUGUGAAAUCCCCGGGCUCAACCUGGGAACUGCAUCCGAAACUGGCAAGCUAGAGUCUUGUAGAGGGGGGUGGAAUUCCAGGUGUAGCGGUGAAAUGCGUAGAUAUCUGGAGGAACACCGGUGGCAAAGGCGGCCCCCUGGGCAAAGACUGACACUCA
rnacentral:rRNA from 1 species